UUUACAUAAACUUACAAGUCUUUUCGUAGUUGGAUGAGAAUGUAGCACGCUUAUUCAUUUGCGAUUGUGAUGCCUUGGUUAAACUACCUUCGCAUCGUUGCUUUGAUUUAAUGUACGAACAUUUUGGUAGGGAUAUCGUGGAAAUUGUUUUUGGUGUAUUUUCUGCAAAAAUUAAAAUAAAAUUAAGAAUAGUAUCAUCAAUAAAAAUAUAUGAUUAAUUCAUGCAAAACAAUACCUAUUGUAUUAUUGAACUGGCAUCAGAAGUGUCAGACUCAUCGGAGGAGAGUUUUCUAGUUUUUUUCGACCGUUUGGAUGGUUCAUCAAAUGCAGCACGCAUAGCAUCAGUAUCAGCAUCCGAUGAGAUAUCCGCUGAUUUCUUCUCGAUUUUCCGAGCUUCUUGAAAAGAAUCUGUCAAACAUAAUGUAACACAUAUAUACAUAAAGUGUAACUCACCAAAUGGGCCAAUCAACUGUUUGUAUGGAGUUAAACUCCAUGUAUCGUUGGACUGUAUUUCCUUUGAUAUUGCUGUGGUGACAGUGAUACCUUUCGGUG